CGAACAAAGGUUCGUGCCGUAAUAGCUUUUGCAACUAUAAAUUUCAAAUUUCCAUAUAUUUAUACUAUUUAACAUGGCGAACCCGUUUAAAAUAGUGGAGCCAAGGAAAUUUCAGACACAGAUCCAAUAGAAUUGGAUGAAGUGCCAAUCAAAUUGCUUAAGGAGUCAUCCCUGACUGGUGAAAAGUUAAACUCCGCUCCUCCAAAAAGAAGCUAGGUUGGUUUUUCAAAAAUGGACAGUGCAAUAGCAGAAGUUGACUGCAAUGCCCAAAAAUUCUGAUGGUUUUUUGUUAAUCUGUAUCAAACAAUAUUUAUCUUAUUUGGUUGCGAUGUAAAUAUCUCUCUAAUCUGAACUUCCUAAUAUUUUUUGCCUCUACAUAGACCAGCACUUGCCAAUUUUUUGUAUCCGAAUGCUGGUUGUGCUUGAAAGGUGGUUCCAAGUGCUAAAAUCGAACACAUGUCUGUAAUAUUUUUUUUUGUAUGUAAAUAAACAACUUUUAACCUUUUGUAUCUGCAUUGUACAAAUUAAACAUUUUCUUUAUAACCCUUUUGUGAGCUCUCUAUUUUUGAUGCUGUCAAUGUUUUGUCAUGCCAUUUCUACAUCUUCUCAGCAUGAUGUUGAGUAUAGUUUCCCACCUGCAGUCGUUUUGAAGUAAUGUUCGUCCAAACUAUGAUUUUGUCUCUGUAAUUAGAAGCUUCAUAUCGCUGUUUGGUUUCGUUCUUCUUCACUUUCAAGAACGAUCCGUGUUUGUUGAAGGUAAAUAAUCCGUUCAGCCAUUUUGUUUUCAAUGUAUCAAAUAUUUUACGUUGUUAAUUUUCUAUUACUUUUGUUAAUGCCUCUCUUUUUUUUUUUUCUAUUUUUUUCUUUUUUUCCCAGUUCUCUUUCGCUUUUGUUCAAUCCAUUGUCCUCAGUUGUAAUAUUUCAUUGCAUAAAUUUGAUCACCUGAUCUAUUGUCAAGCGAUAUCUUACGUUUUAACUGUUUUAACCAAUUUAAUCUUAAAUUGAUCAAUGUUAACCCCAACAUUUUAUUUUCAUUUUGUGCACAUUGCAUACAUGUCCACCCAAGUUUCUACCUUUCCUCCGUCUUUGCUUUCAUCGUCGGAGCAAAGCCGAUGUUUCUUAGCAGCCUCACCGCACCUUCAAAGAAUUCUCAA